UUAAAAAUAAGCUAAAUAAAGCUUUUGAGUUCAUACCUCAAAUAUAAAGCAUAUAACUUUUUUUUAAA
rnacentral:tRNA from 1 species